AGAUUCUCCUCUUAUUAGAGGUUACAUUUAAGUUUUUCAUUGGCCCUUUCGGAAGUUACAUUAUUGAGGUGUGUACUUUGCAAGAUGAUUCGACCUCCCCGACCAUAGGGAGUUAGAAUCCCGAUUCGAUCUCCCCGACCAUAGGGAGCUAGAAUUCCGAUAUUGCCCCGAAGAUGACCCUUACGGAUUAGUCUUACAUAGUUAGUGAGAUAAAGAAUGGUUUUUGAGAUAAAGAAUGGUUUUGAAUAGUAAAGAAUUUCGAUUUCAAGUAGGAUUUAUGUAUAAUUGAUUUUGUUGG
rnacentral:misc_RNA from 1 species